AGUUUGUGAGGGCUGCUGCUGCAGGGGAGAGUGAGAGUGUGCUGCUGGGGAGAGUGAGAGUGUGCUGCUGGGGAAGAGAAAGUUUGUGAGGGCUGCUGCUGCAGGGGAGAGUGAGAGUGUGCUCCUGGGGAGAGUGAGAGUGUGCUGCUGGGGGAGAGAAAGUUUGUGAGGGCUGCUGCUGCAGGGGAGAGUGAGAGUGUGCUGCUGGGGAGAGUGAGAGUGUGCUGCUGGGGGAGAGAAAGUGUGUGAGGGAAGCUGCUGCUGGGGAGAGUGAGAGUGUGUUGCUGGGGAGAGUGAGAGUGUGUUGCUGGGGGAGAGAAAGUUUGUGAAGGAAGCUGCUGCUGGGGAGAGUGAGAGUGUGUUGCUGGGGGAGAGAAAGUUUGUGAAGGAAGCUGCUGCUGGGGAGAGUGAGAGUGUGCUGCUGGGGAGAGUGAGAGUGUGCUGCUGGGGGAGAGAAAGUGUGUGAGGGCUGCUGCUGCUGGGGAGAGUGAGAGUGUGCUCCUGGAGAGAGUGAGAGUGUGCUGCUGGGGAGAGUGAGAGUGUGCUGCUGGGGGAGAGAAAGUUUGUGAGGGAAGCUGCUGCUGCAGCCACAACCUUCGUGAGAGAGGUCUGCGAACUGUGGACAAAGUAGGUGCCGGAAGCUGGGUGCACGGCAGCAAGUGAUGAGGUGAAGAAAGCUGGAGCAACUGCAAGGAGGAGUAUCGGUGAUGCAGGAGAGGGCCCACACAGAAAAGGGUCUGUGAAAGUCACACCGAGAGGGUUCACCCCGCAUCAGGACAACGACCCCAAACAUAUAGCCAAUAUCAUUAAGAACUAUCUUCAGCGUAAAGAAGAAAAAGGAGUACUGGAAGUGAUGAGAUGGCGCCCACAGAUCCCUGAUCUCAAUAUCCUCCUGCUAUUUGAGUGGCAGAAAGUUUUGCAAUGGACUGCAUUCCCUACUAUGGUGGUAAUUCUCCAUGAACUAUAAAACUUAAAACAUCCCAGCUAAAGAAUCAUUGUUUUUUUUAACAAUCUGAUUAAUUAGUGCUAAUGUGCCCUUAGGAUUUUUCUUGUAUUCAUACAUGUAAUAUUGUGGGCGGUUUUAUGUCUGCUCUGUUGCAACAGUAUAUAUUUUAAUUGUAUCAGCAUAAUAAAUGCAACAUUUUAUCUUUACCAUAUUCAGCUUUUAAGUGCUGUCAGUUCUAUCUUUUGUAUAAUUUCUAUGUGGGAUCAACUAUCCCUUUAACAGCUGCUCUUAGUGAACUCAACUCGUUUCAAGCGCCAAAUAUUUUUACCUUGGUAAAAAAUGUAUUUGCAUCUCAACAUCAUUGAGUCUGUCUGUGAUCACACAAAAAGACCGAAGGAUUUGAGCAAGCCUACAUCCACAGAAGAUCUGUGGUUAGUUCUCCAAGAUGUUUGGAACAACCUUCCUACCGAGUUCCUUCAAAAACUGUUUGCAGGUGUACCUAGAAGAUUUGAUGCUGUUUUGAAGACCAAGGGUGGUCACACCAAAUAUUGAUUUGAUUUAGAUUUCUCUUCUGUUCAUUCACUUUGCAUUUUUUUAUUGAUAAAAAUAAACUCAUCCUAACUCUCUGUUCCACGCUCUCUCUGUACCCCAUCUGUGUCACCCCUGUCUGUCUACCCCUCCCCUUUAGAAUGCAAGCUCUCACGAGCAGGGCCCUCUUCCCUCAUGUGCUUAUCCUUUUUCUUACUUAAAUAAUCUUCAAUGGCACCAAAUCCAGCAGUCUUCUGCCACCUAAUACUUAUUCCAGUGUCAUCUGCUGAUGUAGCUAUGUUUAUUUACCCUGUACUUGUCCUAUAUUAUCAUUAACUGUAAGUUGCUGUUUUCCUGUUUGAUUAUUUGUUUAUGUACUCUGUAAUUUGUUUUCCUGUUUGAUUAUUUGUUUAUGUACUCUGUAAUUGGGCGCUGCUGAACC